GUUUAUUUUAAGCUGGAAGGUGUUUUGGUGGCUGGUGACUCCAAUGUCUACAGACUCCGAGAUUCGAGCAGCGAUCGGUCUGGCAACGUGAAUAUUUCAUUCCUGGCCGUCUCAGAUGAUGGCACAGAUACAUAAAGAAGAUCUGAAGAACGUGCCUAUUCGCAUUAAACUUCCGGAAAAGAGGAAAAAGUUUUAUUGACACCAGUGACCAUUUUCAGCUGCUUCUGGGGGAUGUUGCAAUUUGCCAUCCAGCUCAGAACAUACAUGGCUUACCCAUAAUAAAUAAAACUGAAAGCUGUGACAGUAGGAAAGAAAACCAUUAGAAAAAACAACAUUGCAAAAAGGCAAAACGAUGUGUGAAA